GGGCGCUUAGCUCAGUUGGUCAGAGCGCCGCCCUUACAAGGCGGAGGCCACAAGUUCAAGUCUUGUAGCGCCCA
rnacentral:tRNA from 1 species